rnacentral:lncRNA from 1 species
UGGCAGUAACCAGUCCCCACCAAAAAUAUUUUCGCCUGGGACUGUUCCAUCAGAUUCCAGCUCUGCUCUCACAGAGGAAAACGUGAAAAGGCUGGAAGAGGAGUACACAACUUCUAAGGAAGCCUUCCAUAAGAAGAGAAUACGAGAUUAUAUCAAGCAGAGUAAUAUUGCUCUCUCCUGCAAUGAGGAAACUGGGGAAACCAGCACAGACCUUGUCUGGGAUGAAGAACCUGAAGGAGCCCCCUCAUCCUUUCCAGCAAAACAGAAAGAAAACAGCAGAGAAGCCUCCCGGAACAGCUAUGCAGUUAUUUCAAGGAAAGAUAAGCUAUUAACAGCACAGGCGAUAAACUCUCCAUCAGCUCAUCCCACUGGCUCUAAGCCAAAGGAAUCCAAGUAAGGACAAUAAUUG